rnacentral:rRNA from 1 species
AUGAACGCUGGCGGCGUGCUUAACACAUGCAAGUCGAACGGAAAGGCUCCUGCUUGCAGGGGUACUCGAGUGGCGAACGGGUGAGUAACACGUGGGUGAUCUGCCCUGCACUUCGGGAUAAGCCUGGGAAACUGGGUCUAAUACCGGAUAGGACGAUGGUUUGGAUGCCAUUGUGGAAAGUUUUUCGGUGUGGGAUGAGCUCGCGGCCUAUCAGCUUGUUGGUGGGGUAAUGGCCUACCAAGGCGUCGACGGGUAGCCGGCCUGAGAGGGUGUACGGCCACAUUGGGACUGAGAUACGGCCCAGACUCCUACGGGAGGCAGCAGUGGGGAAUAUUGCACAAUGGGCGCAAGCCUGAUGCAGCGACGCCGCGGGGGGGAUGACGGCCUUCGGGUUGUAAACUCCUUUCGCUAGGGACGAAGCGUUUUGUGACGGUACCUGGAGAAGAAGCACCGGCUAACUACGUG